UACGUAGGUGGCAAGCGUUGUCCGGAAUUAUUGGGCGUAAAGCGCUCGCAGGCGGUCUUUUAAGUCUGAUGUGAAAUCUCGUGGCUUAACCACGAACGGUCAUUGGAAACUGGGGGACUUGAGUACAGAAGAGGAGAGUGGAAUUCCACGUGUAGCGGUGAAAUGCGUAGAGAUGUGGAGGAACACCAGUGGCGAAGGCGACUCUCUGGUCUGUAACUGACGCUGAGGAGCGAAAGCGUGGGGAGCGAACAGG
rnacentral:rRNA from 1 species